UACGUAGGGUGCAAGCGUUGUCCGGAAUUAUUGGGCGUAAAGAGCUCGUAGGCGGUCUGUCGCGUCUGCUGUGAAAACUCAGGGCUUAACCCUGAGCUUGCAGUGGGUACGGGCAGACUAGAGUGCGGUAGGGGAGACUGGAAUUCCUGGUGUAGCGGUGAAAUGCGCAGAUAUCAGGAGGGAACACCGGUGGCGAAAGGCGGGUCUCUGGGC
rnacentral:rRNA from 1 species